GACGAACCGUGCGAACGUUAUUCGGAAUCACUGGGCUUAAAGGGCGCGUAGGCGGGUCCGGCAGUCAGGGGUGAAAUCCCACGGCCCAACCGUGGAAGUGCCUCUGAUACUUCGGACCUCGAGGGAGGUAGGGGCGUGCGGAACUCCGGGUGGAGCGGUGAAAUGCGUAGAUAUCCUGAGGAACACCGGUGGCGAAAGCGGCGCGCUGGAUCUCUUCUGACGCUGAGGCGCGAAAGCCAGGGGAGCAAACGGG
rnacentral:rRNA from 1 species